GGACUGAGUCCUAAAGGGUGAGACGGGCUGGCAUGGGAGGUCUGAGGGAACAGUGUGCCAGGCAGAGGGAACAGCAGGUGAAGAGACCGAGGGGAGGAAACAGGUCUUGAGAAUCGGAGGACUAGAAACGAGGCCAGCGUGUGUGAGUCAUAAGGCAUAAGAGUGGUUGGAGAUGGGGACAUGGAAAGACUUCGCAAAGCAUCGAGUGGGCCAGAAGGAGAAGGGAAUGGUGUUGUCAUUGUGAGUUAUUACUGCAGUGACAGUGGGCUUUGUGUCCAGCCCUAGAUUCCAGAGACGAGGAGGACCUUCCCACCCGUUCACUUCAGGAAGACCAUGAACCUUCCCCCUUGCAUCGCCAUUGGCUGAAUCAGGUCGGCUCUGCUGGCUGCAGACUCGUUCUCUGUUUAUCAAAGGCUGUAGCAGGUGCAUUAAAACGUAUCAGCCCAGCCCCAGGCAGAUGGAGGCGACACGGAGAGCUUGGAAUCGAAAGGAGCUGCUGAUCACCGUGACCCCAAGAUACACCUGCUUUCUCUUUGUUAAGGAAUUAGACACGAUACUUUCAUCUUUAAAAACAGAUCAAAGAAAGGAAGGAAGGUAGGAAGGAAGGAAGAAAAUGCCUGCAAAUCCUUGGUCGUACAUACUUUCUGGUGUUUGACAUCUCCCAGACGUGGUUUGAACUUUGAACAGUCUUAUGGAAAAUUUGAGAUCGUGUAAGAACGGGCUCACCGCUCUCCCCCGACACUGUAACAGGAACUCAUACUGAUAUUGGCUUAUUAAGUUACAAAGCAUGUGGGUUCCCAUCAGUCAACAGGUGAGUCAGCAAUCCAAAGAGGUCUCCAAGGACCGGAUUCUUUCCAUCUUGGCGUUGUCUUCUGAGUGGACUUCUUUCUGCCCGAGGGAGGAGACCCUCCUGGGGACUGAGGGUCACGUGGGUUCAGAAGAAGCAAUCAGGCCGAGGAAAGCUUUGGAAGCUUCCUUAAAGGAGCAAGCAGGAAGUUUUCUAGAAAACUCCAGCAAACCCUUUCUGGAAUCUCCUUGGCCCCAACUGCAUCACAUGUGUGUUCUUGACCAAAUCACUGCCCAGGAAAACGGCUGGAGUCAGCCCGUCACAGGCCCGUGGAAUGUGAGGGGGACAGGGGCUUCACGAGAAGCCAAGGACCCUUCCUGGGGAGGGCUGGUCGUGGAUGCAGUGGGCAGUCAGUGAUACCCACCGGCUGCCUAGGAAAACCAGCCUCAUCCACCAGCCUCACUGAAGGCAAACUCUGUUUUCUUCUCCUUACCGCUCGCAUCGAACACUUCUUCCCACACCCCCCAAUUCUGCAGCACAGCUGGGUGUACUGCAAUUCAGUUCAGUUCCGACACUGUCCGCUCUGAGUUAGCGUCAGACCCCACAGGCCAAGGGCUCAGUCCCACAAGACCCCACAGGCCAAGGGCUCAGUCCCACAAGACCACCCCAUUUCAGACGCUAAUCACAAGUCCUAGGAUGUCACCGGGACUUCUGGCCUACAGGCUGUAAUUUGGGGUUCCCGGGGCCACACUUUGUUGGAUUUGAUAAUCUGCUAGAAUGGACAGAACUCGGGGAAAUACUUCCUUUUGUUUACCAGUUUAUUACAAAGGAUAUAGGAAAGGAUACAGGUGAACAGUGAGAGGAAGAGACACAUAAGGAAGGGUCUGGAAAGGUCCUGAGUGCGGGCACUUCUGUCCUUGUACCCCAUCCCCCCCGCCUGUGGAUGUGUUCACCAGCCCAGAUGCUCUCUGAACCCCAUAGUUUAGGGAUUUUUAUGGAGGCUUUAUCACAUAGGCAUGAUCCGUUAUCAGCUUACGCUGAAAGUUCCAGACUGCUAAUCUUGGCUUGGUCUUUCUGGUGACCAGCUGCCAUCCAGGAGGCCACCAAGAGUCGCUUCAUUAGAACAGAAGACACUCCUAUCGCCCAGGAAAUUCCAAGGGAUUUAGGAGCUCCGUGUCAGAAAGAAGAUCAAAGGUCAAAUGUUAGGACGAACCAGGGAGACCAUUUUCACAUACCCCUUCUUCCCUAGGGGCUGGUGUCUGAUCCUCGAAAGUAAUUUCACAGAUGUGGAAAUAGAGACGCGGAAAAGCGAUAACUCAUCCAAGUUCCCACAGCCAGCGAGUAACGGAGCUGAGCUUCGAGUCCAUGCAGCUUCCCUUGGGACCCCCUCCUUCCUCUUCUGCGGGUGGAGGUCACAAGUACCCUGCUGGGGAAAUCGAGGGCUGAGUCCUCAUAUGUCACAGCGGCCUGUUGGCAACCAAUGUCCCAUGCCGUCAGAGGUAGAUGUGGAGCGAAUGUACCUCCCAU